rnacentral:ncRNA from 1 species
AAAGACUUAGUCCUAACCUUACCAUUAGUUCUUGCUAGACAUAUACAUGCAAGUAUCCGCGCCCCAGUGUAAAUGCCCCUGACUCCUAUGCCACAGGUAAAAGGAGCUGGCAUCAGGCACGCCCAUAGCAGCCCAAGACGCCUUGCUUAGCCACACCCCCACGGGUACUCAGCAGUAAUUAACAUUAAGCAAUAAGUGCAAACUUGACUUAGCCAUAGCAACCCAGGGUUGGUAAAUCUUGUGCCAGCCACCGCGGUCACACAAGAGACCCAAACUAAUUGUUCGCGGCGUAAAGAGUGGACUCACGUUUAUCACACUAAUUAGGGUCAAAACGUAACUGAGCUGUCAUAAGCUUAAGAUACACCUAAAACCGCCCUAAAAACGGCCCUAAUUCUCAUGACUUACUGAACUCCACGAAAGCCAGGGCACAAACUGGGAUUAGAUACCCCACUAUGCCUGGCCCUAAAUCUUGAUGCUCCAAUCAACCAAAGCAUCCGCCUGAGAACUACGAGCACAAACGCUUAAAACUCUAAGGACUUGGCGGUGCCCCAAACCCACCUAGAGGAGCCUGUUCUAUAAUCGAUAACCCACGAUACACCCGACCACUUCUUGCCAAAAACAGCCUACAUACCGCCGUCGCCAGCUCACCUCUUCUGAGAGCACCACAGUGAGCACAAUUGCCCUAACCCCGCUAAUAAGACAGGUCAAGGUAUAGCCCAUGAAGUGGGAGAAAUGGGCUACAUUUUCUAGCCUAGAAAAUCACGAAAGGGGGCAUGAAACAGCCCCUAGAAGGCGGAUUUAGCAGUAAAGCGGGAUAACAUAAGCCCCCUUUAAGCCGGCUCUGGGGCACGUACAUACCGCCCGUCACCCUCCUCAUAAGCCUUAGACGCCAAUAAAUAAUACACCCAUUCGCUAAAGAUGAGGUAAGUCGUAACAAGGUAAGUGUACCGGAAGGUGCACUUAGCACAC